ensembl:snRNA U6 U6 spliceosomal RNA
GUGCUCGCUUUGACGGCACAUACACUAAAAUUGGAACGAUGCAGAGAAGAUUAGCAUGGCCCCUGUGCAAGGAUGACAUGUAAAUUCAUGAAGUGUUCCAUAUUCUU